rnacentral:lncRNA from 1 species
CGUGCGCUCCCCACUCGUGUGGUCUCUCUGCACCCCUUCCUGGGGUCGGGUCGGGCAGGGGCGGAGGGGAGCCGCAGCCCGGUCACGGGCUCUGGGGAACCCGGGCUCCCGUUCGGCUGCACCUGGGCCCCUAGCUCCUGUCCGGGCGGGGAUAGCGGGAAGCGCACCAGGCCCCCGGGACGCCGGUGCUUCUUUGCACGGCCCAGCGCGGGAAUGUGGACACCAGCGAAGCCGGCUCAGGUCGGCCCUCGGGAGAAGCAGGGGCUACACGGAAAGGGAGCCCGAGGGUCCUGCAGAGCCCGAGGUCGGGACCCCGCGCGUGCAGUGCCAAUGGGCUGCGGCUGGGCUGAGCGCCCUUCCAACCUUGCAGGCCCCGGGGGGGUUGCCGCGGAGAGCUUCCGCUGGGGCUCCGGGCCUCUGGCCGCCACCUCCCUCGGGAGGCCGAGGGGGGCGGUGGCCCCGGCCCGGCCCUCCCGCUUCCCUCACGGCCUGGCCCUCCCGCUUCCCUGAUUCCCGGUAGGGUCGCUCUCCCCGCCUCCUGGCCCCUCUUGGCUCGGAUGACAAAGAUUGGGUAAAGGCUUUCAACGAGCUAGCGUCUGGCAGGGGGUGUGUCCUCGCUCACUGGUUACUGCUAGGACGGAGCUUGGAUUUUGGUCACCGUGGCUCAGA